AUACGAAGGGGGCUAGCGUUGUUCGGAAUUACUGGGCGUAAAGCGCGCGUAGGCGGAUUGGUCAGUUAGGGGUGAAAUCCCAGGGCUUAACCCUGGAACUGCCUCUAAUACUGCCAGUCUUGAGUUCGGGAGAGGUGAGUGGAAUUCCUAGUGUAGAGGUGAAAUUCGUAGAUAUUAGGAAGAACACCAGUGGCGAAGGCGGCUCACCGGCCCGAUACUGACGCUGAGGCGCGAAAGCGUGGGGAGCAAACAGGAUUAGAAACCCUAGUAGUCC
rnacentral:rRNA from 1 species